CACGCCGUAAACGAUGGAUACUAGGUGUGGGGGAGAUACACCCUCCGUGCCGGAGCAAACGCAAUAAGUAUCCCGCCUGGGGAGUACGGCCGCAAGGCUGAAACUCAAAGGAAUUGACGGGGACCCGCACAAGCAGCGGAGCAUGUGGUUUAAUUCGAAGCAACGCGAAGAACCUUACCAAGGCUUGACAUCCCUUGACCGUCAUGGAAACAUGACUUCCCUUCGGGGCAAGGAGACAGGUGG
rnacentral:rRNA from 1 species